UACGUAGGGUGCAAGCGUUGUCCGGAAUUAUUGGGCGUAAAGAGCUCGUAGGCGGUUUGUCGCGUCUGCUGUGAAAGCUCGGGGCUUAACCCCGGGCCUGCAGUGGGUACGGGCAGACUAGAGUGCGGUAGGGGAGACUGGAAUUCCUGGUGUAGCGGUGAAAUGCGCAGAUAUCAGGAGGAACACCGAUGGCGAAGGCAGGUCUCUGGGCAGUAACUGACGCUGAGGAGCGAAAGCGUGGGGAGCGAACAGG
rnacentral:rRNA from 1 species